rnacentral:rRNA from 1 species
CGCAUCUGUGCAUGCAGCAUAUCAAUAAGCGGAGGAAAAGAAACUAACAAGGAUUCCCCUAGUAACGGCGAGUGAAGCGGGAAGAGCUCAAAUUUGAAAUCUUAAAGGGUUUCCCUUUACGAAUUGUAGUUUAAAGAAGUGUUUUCUGUUGAGGUUUUGGUAAAAGUUCUUUGGAAUAGGACAUCAUAGAGGGUGAGAAUCCCGUAUUUGACCUUUACUUUCAACUUUGUGAUACACUUUCAAAGAGUCGGAUUGUUUGGGAAUGCAGUCCAAAAUGGGUGGUAAAUUUCAUCUAAAGCUAAAUAUUGGCGAGAGACCGAUAGCGAACAAGUACCGUGAGGGAAAGAUGAAAAGAACUUUGAAAAGAGAGUUAAACAGUACGUGAAAUUGUCAAAAGGGAAGCGUUUGACACCAGUGUUGUUUUUCUGAAAAUCAAUUAAAGAACUGUUUAUGCUAAGUUGUUUAGACUUUAUCAGCUAACUGUUUAGUUUUGAGCUUUUCUUUAAUGCACUUUUCAGUUAACAAGUCAACAUCAAUUUCUUUUGCUGUAAAAAAGCUUGAGGAAGGUGGCUUGAGAUUCGUCUUAAGUGUUUAUAGCCUCUUGCCUAUGCAGUCGGAGAGAUUGAGGUCUGCAGCGUAGAUCCUUCGGGGCUAAAUGCAUUUGUGCUAAGUUAUAGCAUUUUAUAGACAACUUGUUGACUAUGAUUUGUCUUGUAGCUUACUCGCUUAUGUUAUUUUACCUACGCUUAGGAUGUUGACAGCAGUAUAGACUGU